rnacentral:tRNA from 1 species
GACCGCGUAGCUCAGUUGGAAGAGCAUUGGACUAGUGUUCCAGAUGUCAUAGGUUCGAAUCCCGCCGUGGCCA